GAUGAACGCUGGCGGCGUGCCUAAUACAUGCAAGUCGAGCGAACGGACGAGAAGCUUGCUUCUCUGAUGUUAGCGGCGGACGGGUGAGUAACACGUGGAUAACCUACCUAUAAGACUGGGAUAACUUCGGGAAACCGGAGCUAAUACCGGAUAAUAUUUUGAACCGCAUGGUUCAAAAGUGAAAGACGGUCUUGCUGUCACUUAUAGAUGGAUCCGCGCUGCAUUAGCUAGUUGGUAAGGUAACGGCUUACCAAGGCAACGAUGCAUAGCCGACCUGAGAGGGUGAUCGGCCACACUGGAACUGAGACACGGUCCAGACUCCUACGGGAGGCAGCAGUAGGGAAUCUUCCGCAAUGGGCGAAAGCCUGACGGAGCAGCGCCGCGUGAGUGAUGAAGGUCUUCGGAUCCUAAAACUCUGUUAUUAGGGAAGAACAUAUGUGUAAGUAACUGUGCACAUCUUGACGGUACCUAAUCAGAAAGCCACGGCUAACUACGUG
rnacentral:rRNA from 1 species